rnacentral:rRNA from 1 species
UGGUGUUGAGGAGGCUGAAAACUAUUUGGCAAAUGAUUUGGCUCUCCUUUUUGUAUAGCUCCGCCUUUCUUUUCCUGCGGGUGGGCGUGCGUGGGUCGGUGCGAGGGCCGUUAGGGGUUGCUGCGAUCGCGUAUGCUGAGGGAGGGAGGAAAAUUUGGCGCGCGUGUGCGGCUGGUUGGCCUUGGGCGGCUGCUGAAGAAGGAAGAGAGGAGGGGAGAAGUAUGGUUAGAGAGGAGGAGACGGUACCGCUGCAGCUGAAGCGCGCUGGCGCCGCCGAUGGGCGGCCUGAGCUGCGCCGACGCGUAGCCGCUGCUGUAGCGGACCCGCCUGCAGCCGCCGCACAUGCUGGCGCUGCUGAGGGAGUUCCUCUUGUGGUUGGGGUUCACGGAGGAGUUCCGGGUGUUGGGCUCGCGCGGGCCGGUCGUGGUGGUGGUGGUGGUGUUGCCGCGGCGCAGCGUCGCGAAGAGCCCCUUGGACUUCGGGUGCCGCCGCGGGUAGUAGCCGGAGAGGCCCUUCGAGCCGGUCCCGCCGCGCGCCGCCUGGGUGGUCGUCGUGGGCGGGCGGUACAAGGGGUUCUUCCGGUUCUGGCCGCCGCCGCCGGCGUUGGGCUCCGGGCGGCAGGGCCUCCUGCUCGGGUCGAGGGGGUUCCAGAGCACGUAGCCCUUCCACGAGAGGCUCGCGCUCUCCCGCGCCGCGUCCGGAGCGGGCGGGGGGAGCCUCGCGGGAGGAAGGCCGACGACGGGACCCGAGCCGAAGGAGUACGCGGCGUCGGCGAGCGCCUUCUCACGGCACCUCUCGCAGCUGACCAGGGGCGGAGGGGGCGGUGGCCGCCGCUCCGCCUCCCUCCGCUUCCGCCGGCUCUGCCUCCUCCGGCGCGGCCGCGGCCGCGGGCCCGACCCUCCCCAGUACGCCAAGCGCAGCCCCUCCGCCCGCCGCCUAACCGGCCGGGUCUACCUCCACCUGCUGGCGCACCGCUUUAGGCCCGGCAACAUCGCGCCCGUCCUCUAAAUUAAAACGAGAACCCAACCCAAACCAAACACUAGCGAAGACGACGAACAACAACGGCACGAGAUCCAAAUCAUUUAGGCACGCACAAACACACAUAUAUGACUAUCAUAAUUAAUCCUGUUGUGUAAACACACUAGUACUAUACCUAAACUUUUAGUCUGUUUUAAAACGAUCAAAGGAGUAGACGAAACCGAGCAAAGACUUAACAACGUUGAAGUGUACAAGAACUGUUACAUCAGGACUGCAGAACACCUUUAAACUACUUUUAAAGUCUGGAUUAGAACUGAUGUAUAGAACGUGGUGGUAGAAGAGCGUCUUCUAGUCGUCGGAUCGAACUCUCCAUCUUGCAGCAGGGAGUUAAAAAGAAGGGAGUCGACAGCACAGUGAGGUAACAAAGAGUGGGAAGAAAGAAUGUUGGAAGGUAAACAGAGAAUAAUGUCCUUGCUACAGCAGUACCCGGUACUGGUGUAGAGGUUUCCGUAAGGAGAAUAAGAUCACUCAAAUUAGGUAGAAAGUGGCACAGGUAGAUCAGUAAGGACGAGUGUUAACCCUGUCUAAAACUUAACACGUUAUGAGACGGCAGUCCCUGGACUUAUGUUAUACUUUUAAGUUGGAAUCGACAUGUUGGUGUAGAAAAGUCGUGUAUCAAAGGGAUUUUAUACAAUCAUGAGACGGGUCGUAAGAAACGAGUUCACGCUGAAGUAAGUCCAAUUACCUUAAUUUAUUUGGAUUCGGUAGCCAUCUUACGUCUUUUCGUCGGUGAUGAAGCAGUGUCUAGACAAACAAAGCACCAAUCUAAACCCGCUCGGUGAAUGAGCCACUGUGUGUGCGGAAUUAAAUAAGAAAGUAGCGUAUAGUCAAAUAAACUGGAGCAGUGACAAAUAUAAUCAUCACAUUCGACAGUACAAAAGCUCAAACUAGUGCGUAGACUUAUGUGAUAAACAGGAUAAGUGCUUAAGACCGAGGCUUUGAUGUCUUUGUCGACGUGACAAGGAAAAAAACCGAAAGCUUCCCAAAAGAACGUUCCUGAACAAUUCACUGACUAAUACACGAAAUGACAAUUAAGAUAACAUCAUUUGUACACGAUCAUAGGAACUAGGAGGUAUGAUAGAGAAGAGUUUGAAGUUAAAUACAACAAUGUACUAAUUAACUCCUAGGUCAUACGUCGAACAUAUAUGUCUCCACGGUAAAACGUAACAGGUACUCAACGUAGCCACAAAGGUCUCUACUUGAAAUCAACAGAUAAUAAAAACGUCUCAUACGUAAAAUGGUAGCAGUCAGGUAGUGUUUUCUAGCAACCGAGGUAGUACGUAGUAACAUUACCCCAAUACUACACUAAUUACAACUAAUAGAGUUUUAGGGUUUGACACGAGGACAUAUAACCGAUGUCUGGAGAGAUGAUUGAAGAUGGAAACGUGAAGAAUUUGAUGCAUUAAUGAUCCCCUUUAACAUAUAGAUGUUGUUUUAUAAAUAUCAUGUAAGUAUAAAUCAACAAGACUUCACUUCUUAAAUCUUUGAAGUCGAGAACGAUUAAUUCAAACGUGAAGUGUAACUUGAAUUCAUUCGAUACCUAUGGCUCCCACCGAUAUAGACGAAAAGACAACGGACUUGUAAAGAC